rnacentral:snRNA from 1 species
GUGCUCAUUUUGGGAGCACAUAUACUACGAUUGGAACAAUACAUAGAAAGUUAGCACAGCCCCUGUGUAAG